rnacentral:rRNA from 1 species
AGAGUUUGAUCCUGGCUCAGGACGAACGCUGGCGGCGUGCCUAAUACAUGCAAGUCGAGCGGACAGAUGGGAGCUUGCUCCCUGAAGUCAGCGGCGGACGGGUGUGUAACACGUGGGCAACCUGCCUGUAAGACUGGGAUAACUCCGGGAAACCGGGGCUAAUACCGGAUAACUCUUUUCCUCACAUGAGGAAAAGCUGAAAGAUGGUUUCGGCUAUCACUUACAGAUGGGCCCGCGGCGCAUUAGCUAGUUGGUGAGGUAACGGCUCACCAAGGCCACGAUGCGUAGCCGACCUGAGAGGGUGAUCGGCCACACUGGGACUGAGACACGGCCCAGACUCCUACGGGAGGCAGCAGUAGGGAAUCUUCCGCAAUGGACGAAAGUCUGACGGAGCAACGCCGCGUGAGUGAUGAAGGUUUUCGGAUCGUAAAACUCUGUUGUCAGGGAAGAACAAGUACCGGAGUAACUGCCGGUACCUUGACGGUACCUGACCAGAAAGCCACGGCUAACUACGUGCCAGCAGCCGCGGUAAUACGUAGGUGGCAAGCGUUGUCCGGAAUUAUUGGGCGUAAAGCGCGCACAGGCGGUUCCUUAAGUCUGAUGUGAAAGCCCC